rnacentral:rRNA from 1 species
AACGAACGCUGGCGGCAUGCCUAACACAUGCAAGUCGAACGCGUGUAGCAAUACACGAGUGGCGGACGGGUGAGUAACGCGUGGGAACCUGCCCAGUGGUAGGGAAUAACUGCGGGAAACUGCAGCUAAUACCCUAUACGCCCUUUGGGGGAAAGAUUCAUCGCCAUUGGAGGGGCCCGCGUCGGAUUAGCUAGUUGGCGGGGUAACGGCCCACCAAGGCAACGAUCCGUAGCUGGUCUGAGAGGAUGAUCAGCCACACUGGGACUGAGAUACGGCCCAGACUCCUACGGGAGGCAGCAGUGGGGAAUAUUGGACAAUGGGGGAAACCCUGAUCCAGCAAUGCCGCGUGAGUGAAGAAGGCCUUAGGGUUGUAAAGCUCUUUCGGCGGGACGAUGGUGACGGUACCCGCAGAAGAAGCCCCGGCUAACUUCGUGCCAGCCGCCGCCGUAAU